AAUGGGGGAAACCCUGAUCCAGCAAUUUUGCUAGGGCGAUAAACGGCUGUAAAAAGAACCAGGUCGUAAAGCUCUGUUGCCAAAGAAGAUAGAGACGGUAUUUGGAAAAGUAGCCCCGGCUAACCUCGUGCCAGCAGCCGCGGUAAUACGAGGGGAGCAAGCGUUAUACAGUCAAACUGGGCGUAAAGGGUCUUUCAGUGAAAAAGUGUAAGAAAAUAACUAAAUCUUAGGAGGUAACCCUAGCCAUUUAUUUUUACUACUUUUUUAGAAUCUUAUAAGGGUUAACAGUAUUUCAACAAAAGAGUUAAAAUGCUUAGACUGUUAGAAGAGGGCCAUAGGCGAAAGCAGCUAACUAUGUAAAAUUGACACUUAGAGACAAAAGCAUGGGGAGCGAUCGGGAUUAGAGACCCCGGUAGUCCAUGCCCUGACCGAUGGGAGUUAAAUAAAUUUAUAUCAAAUUUUAUUUCAGCUAACGCAUAAACUCCUCGCCUGAGAAGUACAAUCGCAAGGUUGAAACUCAAAGGAAUUGACGGGGGCUUAUUUCAAACGGUGGAACAUGUGGUUUAAUUCGAUGAUCCGCGCAAAACCUUACCAGUUCUAGUGAAUAAGUUGUUUAUUCAACUAUUUUCAGGUGUUGCAUGGCUGUCGUUAGUUCGUGCCGUGAGGCGUCAGGUUAAGUCCCUGAACGAACGUAACCCUUAUUUAAUAUUAUUUUUUUUUAAACACAGCCCUUUUAAAAAUGGGAGGAAGGUAAGGAUGAUGUCAAGUCCUCAUGGCCCUUAUGAACUGGGCUACACACGUGCUACAAUGGUAAUUACAAAAAGUUGCAAAGAUUUAAGUCGGAGCCAAUCUUAUAAAAAUUAUCUUAGUUCAGAUUAUAGGCUGAAACUUGUCUAUAUGAAGUCGGAAUCACUAGUAAUCGUAGAUCAGAAGCGCUACGGUGAAUAUGUACUUAAGCUUUGCACACACUGCCCGUCACAUCGAGGGAGUCAUUUUUUUUAAAAGAUAAUUUAUAGUUAUUGCACUAGUGAAGUCUUUAUUCUAUUGUAUUUAUAGCGAAAAGGGUAACUUUGAUGAAGUCGUAACAAGGUAGCCGUAAGGGAACUUGUGGCUG
rnacentral:rRNA from 1 species